CACAAAGGGCCGUCCUGCCAGCUGGGAAAUUGCUGGAGCAUGCCGAGUGCCGGGGCCGGAGGAAGGAGUGAAAUCAAGUUUAUGCACUUGUCAGGGGAGCUGCGGUGCGGGAGUGGAUCCAGCCCCUCUGCGCAGCCGUUACAGCCCCGACAGCACCCGGGUGGCACAGCCCUGACAGCUCCGGUCCUUGCACCUCUGCUGGCAUGGGAACAUGCCUGUUGGAUCAUGGGCAGGAGCGCACACCGGCUCUGGGUGGAGCUGAAUGCAAUGCCCGCAUUUGUGGUUAGCUACAAGCAAAACAUUAUGAAGAUGAUGGUAUUCAGACACAUACUCAAACAACUGGAUUCAGACAAAAAGGAUGCAAGACUGACCAGCAAGAGAAGAACAGCCCUUGGUCCUGAUCCCAUCAAGGCUGGAGGCAAAACUGCUGAUGGUGUCGGUGAUGGCAAUGGAGUGCACUCCCCUGAGGCUCCCUGACUCCCAUCUCAUUAACACCUGGAUUACUUCACCCUCUAAUCCAGUCAUCGGUACCCGGGCGCAGAUGUGUUUCACAGCUUUGCCAUGUUUGAUUGAUUCUGUUAUUUGUGUAUGCAGCUGUACCACUGCCUUUAUUUAUUUAUUUGUUUUAAUAUAUUGCACAGAUGCAUACAAAUGUAUCUCAGAGACCUUUUCCCCUUCACAGACAACUUCUCGUUGUGCCUUCUACUGGGCAGUCAGGUGAAGUUGUCUUUACUACUGUGGAUUUUAUCAAUUUGAAAUCUAAACAAUUAAAAUAGAAAAGGUAAGCAGUUUCAGGCAGCAAAGUGGCCCUUGAAUGCCUCAGUCAAAUUUUGCAUUUAUGCACCGAAUUUUUCAUCUUUUUUUUAACAUGAUUUUCUUCCACUUGUUACUUUAUGUUAGUCUGUAUAAAAGAUGAAAUGGACUGUUGAGGUGGAAAGUGGAAGCUGUUGGUACACAAAAUGCUUUCAAAUGCAGAAACUAAGCAAAUGGGCAGAGGUUUUGUACUUCCCUGCCCAUCCCUCCCAAUCUCUUUUGUUAAUAAUGACUUUGCUUAUUACUUAAAGCCAUUGCAGAUCUAGAAAACAGCAGAAAAGCUUAACUUUGGAAGUUCAACUAUUUAGUGUGUGAGUAAACUUUGCCCUUGUAAAGUUUGGCCCCCUUUCAUGCAAAGAUUUGACUUAAAAAUGAUAUCUGUAUGGAGUUCAAUGUUGAAAAGGUGUUGGGAGCAUGUCACAGUCACAAGCAGUGUGCACUGUAAAUUGUUAUGAGUUUAUUGAAAAUAAGAUUUGGGGUGGUUGUUCAUAAACAAUCUAUUGCUCUACUGGGCCUCAGAAAAAACAAAUUUAAAAAAAAGUUGUCUGUUUUUCCAGUGUUCAACACCGCCUGUGGUGGCAGGAUGUUGCUCUGCAGUGACCAGGUCUUCCCUGCUCAGCUGCAGGCUGUGUGCUGUGAUGAAAAUCACUCCUAGCAGACAGUGAGCACCUGUCAUCGGGAGGGGAACCUACUCUAUGCUCAUCAUAGAUGAAAGGUUCUGGCUGGGGUGAAAACCAAUCCCUCAUGUGCUGCUGUCUCAUGGCGACAUCGUUGCCCCCCAUCAUCCUGGGGAGUGACAUGAGACAUCUGGUAAGGUCAUCUUCUCCACCUGCACUGCCCCUGUCUCACGAUCAAGUCCCUGCUCUGGGUUGGACCAAGAACCUGAAUACCAAGAUCUGUUCUCAGCAGAAAGCCCAUGAAAUAUAACCCCCUAUACUUAUUUGAGAGCCAUUUGUGUCAUUAGCAAGAUACUUGGAGCCAACAAUUUUUGCUGUAGGUACAUAAUUACCCUUUUCCCAAACACAACCCCAGAGCAUGUAUUCUUCAUAUCAGUGCUCUCUAGGUCUUCCUCCUUUUCACAAGCAAGAAGCCUUAGCUCCAAGUCAAUGUCAACUCUGCUGUCUCUCCUAGCUUACCUUGUAUGAUGAAUAUUCUCGUUUGUGCUAUUUUGACCUUCUCCAGCAGAAGGUGUGGUAGCCCUUUAGAGGAGCUCUCUGGAAGUAGCCUUGGAUCCUUUUUCAACCAAUGAGUGCCCUGCGUGAGAUGCUUCCCUUUCUGUUGCCCUAAAAAUAAGAAUUACGUUGCUCUGCUGCGGUCACAUCUCUUGAUGAGUGAACAGAGCUUCUUGAAACCAGCAGGCUAUACUGUAUAUUCAAGCUUCCUAGAUUCCAUUAACAUUUUGUUAAUGAAAUAGUGCUUUGUCAAAGAGUCUUGAAAACUUAAAAGGGUAUUUAAGCUUCUUCCAUGAGUCAAUACCAUGUAAUGUCAACAUUACCACGAAGGGAUAAUUCGGAGAUGUCACACAAAGCAUGUGUUAUGCCAUUUGCAGUCUAGCAAAACAGCUCAGCAUUUAUGUUGUUUAAUCCAUCUUCAAAAAUCUUUUGUUCUGAAAAAGUUUGAGAUCAAUCUUGUCAGUAUUUACUGACACAAAGCUGAUGUAAGUCGCUGUGCUCCUAUUGACUUCAUCUGAGUUGUAACGAUUUACCCCAGCCUCGAAUUAAGCCCAAAUUAGGCAUAUGAAGAACUUGAUAUCAAACUUUUAAGGAAUAUAGAGAUGAAUGGUACACACCCUGCAAAUGAAAAUGUGAAGAGAAGUAGAGCGAAGGAAGUAAAUAGUUUGCAGUGAUCUGGGACAGGACAGGCACAAUUUGAAGAGACUUGAAGAAACACAUUAUCUACAAUUUUGCAUUUAUGAAAUAAUCUACUUCUCUAGCUAGAAGUAAAUAGGAAAUAAAGAAAUAGACAGUUCAGAUCUGAGCUCUGGC
rnacentral:lncRNA from 1 species